rnacentral:rRNA from 1 species
CCUACGGGCGGCAGCAGUGAGGAAUAUUGGUCAAUGGACGAGAGUCUGAACCAGCCAAGCAGCGUGAAGGAUGACUGCCCUAUGGUUUGUAAACUUCUUUUACAUGGGAAUAAAAUGUUCCACGUGUGGGAUUUUGUAUGUACCAUAUGAAUAAGGAUCGGCUAACUCCGUGCCAGCAGCCGCGGUAAUACGGAGGAUCCGAGCGUUAUCCGGAUUUAUUGGGUUUAAAGGGAGCGUAGGUGGAUUGUUAAGUCAGUUGUGAAAGUUGGGGGCUCAACCGUAAAAUUGCAGUUGAAACUGGCAGUCUUGAGUACAGUAGAGGUGGGCGGAAUUCGUGGUGUAGCGGUGAAAUGCUUAGAUAUCACGAAGAACUCCGAUUGCGAAGGCAGUUCACUGGACUGCAACUGACACUGAGGCUCGAAAGUGUGGGUAUCAAACAGGAUUAGAUACCCUUGUAGUC